CGAUAACGAACGAGACCUUAACCUACUAAAUAGCAGUACUAGCUUCGGCUGGUCUUCUGCUUCUUAGAGGGACUAUCUAUUUCAAGUAGAUGGAAGUUUGAGGCAAUAACAGGUCUGUGAUGCCCUUAGACGUUCUGGGCCGCACGCGCGCUACACUGACGGAGCCAGCGAGUACUAUCCUUGGCCGAAAGGUGCGGGUAAUCUCGUGAAACUCCGUCGUGCUGGGGAUAGAGCAUUGUAAUUAUUGCUCUUCAACGAGGAAUUCCUAGUAAGCGCAAGUCAUCAGCUUGCGUUGAUUACGUCCCUGCCCUUUGUACACACCGCCCGUCGCUACUACCGAUUGAAUGGCU
rnacentral:rRNA from 1 species